AGUUGAACGAACCCUUCGGGGUGAGUAGCGCACGGGUGCGUAACACGUGGGAAUAUACCCUUAGGUGCGGAACAACGUUUGGAAACGAACGCUAAUACCGCAUAAUAUCUUCGGAUCAAAGAUUUAUCGCCUAAGGAUUAGCCCGCGUCGGAUUAGAUUGUUGGUGAGGUAAUGGCUCACCAAGUCGACGAUCCGUAGCUGGUCUGAGAGGAUGAUCAGCCACACUGGGACUGAGACACGGCCCAGACUCC
rnacentral:rRNA from 1 species